rnacentral:rRNA from 1 species
ACGGGUGAGUAACGCGUGGGAAUCUACCCAUCUCUACGGAACAACUCCGGGAAACUGGAGCUAAUACCGUAUACGUCCUUCGGGAGAAAGAUUUAUCGGAGAUGGAUGAGCCCGCGUUGGAUUAGCUAGUUGGUGGGGUAAUGGCCUACCAAGGCGACGAUCCAUAGCUGGUCUGAGAGGAUGAUCAGCCACACUGGGACUGAGACACGGCCCAGACUCCUACGGGAGGCAGCAGUGGGGAAUAUUGGACAAUGGGCGCAAGCCUGAUCCAGCCAUGCCGCGUGAGUGAUGAAGGCCCUAGGGUUGUAAAGCUCUUUCAACGGUGAAGAUAAUGACGGUAACCGUAGAAGAAGCCCCGGCUAACUUCGUGCCUGCAGCCGCGGUAAUACGAAGGGGGCUAGCGUUGUUCGGAAUUACUGGGCGUAAAGCGCACGUAGGCGGAUACUUAAGUCAGGGGUGAAAUCCCGGGGCUCAACCCCGGAACUGCCUUUGAUACUGGGUAUCUCGAGUCCGGAAGAGGUGAGUGGAAUUCCGAGUGUAGAGGUGAAAUUCGUAGA